rnacentral:lncRNA from 1 species
GCGCACUUCCGGAGUCGACUCGCUGACAGGUUUUGAGUUGAUGCUUUCUGCUCGUCUGUCUGUUCUCAGUCGGAGUCGACUCGUAAUGAUCUGGAGUUGACUCGAGUCCGUGUCAGUGAUUCUGAUACGCUUGGAGUCGACUCGUAAUAUCCCGGAGUCGACUCGAGUCUCAGACUUUGGUUCAAACUGACUUCUUAAUUUGUCCAAAAUAUCUUGAACCAAGUCUAGAAACAUUUAGACAAGAUUUUCACUGAAACACUCAAUUGAAUUCAUUAGUAAACAAAAGAUAUACUCAAAUGCUUUGAGCUCAUCAAAAUCAAAUAGGGUUUUAAUCAAUCACUCCACAAUCUCCCCCUUUUUGAUGAUGACAAAACAUUGAGUAUAUGUAAAGUGAAUUGCUCAAUAAACAGAAAAAUAAAAUCCAUAAAUGAAUUCAAGUGUCUAGUUAUUUAAUUUAUCCAAGCUUGAAAGGUGUGAAACAAUAAAUUUUGGAGUUAAAGCUCCCCCUUUCAUUUGGAAUUAUAUAAGCCUUCAUGUCAUGCA